AAGGAGCAACAAGCAAAGAGAAAGGGAAGUAGAAACGGACUAUGUGUGUGUAAGAGCAGGAGAAAGCUGUGGGGUGGAGGGGGGGGCUUCGUGUUUUUAUAUGGAUUAAAUUCAGAUUUCACCGAGAUAAGGAACAUAGGACUGAGUGGUGCAAACUAAACUGCUGUCAAAGCAAAUAGUUCUGGGCUGAAGCCAGGUGGGAGUGUGUUUCAGGUUAAAGGAAGUGCAGCAAAAAGGCCCAAUUUGACCUUUCCAGCCUUCAUUUUUAUACCAUCCUGUACAGGAGGUAUGAGGAAUUCCGAGCACGAACGCAGCCUGUCCACCAGCUCUCUAUGCUGACACAGUGUGUCCUCCAGUGCCCUCGCUGCCUCCUAUCUCUGCUGACCCAAGGAUAAGCUCAUCGGACGACAGUGGCUCCACUACAGACUGACGGUUGGACAAAACAACCAGUGUGAAGACGUCACUGAGCAUUUUUACCUAUUUUCUGACAUUUGAAUCGAUAAUAAAAAUAAUAAUUCAUUCAAA